rnacentral:lncRNA from 1 species
GGGUCGGCUUGGUAAGCUAUUCCAGUAUGGUUAUUGCCCCUUUAAGUAGUUGUCCUGUCCUGCCCGCGGUAGUCAAUUCUCUCCUACUUCUCCCCUGCCCGCGGUAGUCAAUUCCCUCCUACUUCUCUUGCUUCUCUUGUAACACCAUCUUGAGAGUUAUAGGCUUUCUUUCACACCAGAUUUAGAUUAGUUGGCUUUCACACCAGAUAGAGAGUGACUUGGCCCGAGUGUCUUGUCUAGUAGUUCCUUGGCCCAGAUUUCUGCCUCUGUUCAACUCCUCUGAUAGCUCAUCCUAUGAUAUGAGUUUCACAAGUGGUUUACCAAAUUCUAUAAGUAAGUUUACGCUAAUAAGAUUAUUCCCAACCCAACACUUCGGUAGAGCAGAAUCAGAAUAAGGAGAAAAAGCCAGAGAAAAAGCUGGUCUAUAGCUUAGAACACCCACAGCAGCACAAGCACCGAACCUAGACCAAACAAAAGCGGAAAAGAGAAAGAGCGCGCGCCCCACACCCCGUAAGUCCUGUGCUGUCUUGUUUGACUUUGUUCGACAUAAUGAAUUGCAGAAUGGAAUUGGGAAUGCGAAGGCGAAGUGUUGUCUAGAAUCGAAGUGGGGUGUAAUCCUAGUGUGAGUGUAGCUCCGUAAGCGCCGAGUCAAACUCAAACAGUCAAAUCAUCUUUCGAGCACAUGUCAUAUAACAGAGGAAUCUUACCAGAGAGAGCAAUCUUACCAAUAAUCAUUCUAUACCUUCUUACCGGAGAGAGCAAUCUUACCAAUAAUCAUUCUAUACCUUAUUGCAUCUUUUACUUGCGUUGCGGGCUUGCGAGUCUAGCAUUAAUGAGCGGGCAUGAGACCACCCUUACUUUAGUUUCAACUUCACCUCUAUGUGGGCAUUCAAAAAGAUCUGAUAUAUACGACAACACUCGAACAAACAUCGGAUUCUGAAUUCUUUGCUUCUUAUUCAACUUCAUUUCUAUAAGUAAGGAUACAACUUAUGAACAAUUCCUA